rnacentral:rRNA from 1 species
UACAGAGGGUGCAAGCGUUAUUCGGAAUUACUGGGCGUAAAGCGUGCGUAGACGGUUACAUAAGUCGGGUGUGAAAGCCCCGGGCUCAACCUGGGAAUUGCAUUCGAGACUGCGUAGCUAGGGUGCGGAAGAGGGAAGCGGAAUUUCCGGUGUAGCGGUGAAAUGCGUAGAUAUCGGAAGGAACACCAGUGGCGAAAGCGGCUUCCUGGUCCAGCACCGACGUUCGGGCACGAAAGCGUGGGGAGCAAACAGG